GACGAACGCUGGCGGCGUGCUUAACACAUGCAAGUCGAGCGGUAAGGCCCUUUCGGGGGUACACGAGCGGCGAACGGGUGAGUAACACGUGGGUGACCUGCCCUCAGCUCUGGGAUAAGCCUGGGAAACCGGGUCUAAUACCGGAUAUGACUCCAUGACGCAUGUUGUGGGGUGGAAAGCCUUGUGCGGCUGAGGAUGGGCCCGCGGCCUAUCAGCUUGUGGUGGGGGAUGGCCUACCAAGGCGACGACGGGUAGCCGGCCUGAGAGGGCGACCGGCCACACUGGGACUGAGACACGGCCCAGACUCCUACGGGAGGCAGCAGUGGGGAAUCUUGCGCAAUGGGCGAAAGCCUGACGCAGCGACGCCGCGUGAGGGAU
rnacentral:rRNA from 1 species